CCAAAUACGGGGAUUUACCGGGUGGCAGUGUGGUUAGCUGGUUGUCAGCAUAUCGGACAACGGCUAUCAUCACUGCCGUCCUGGUUUUCCUAAAGUUCAGCAUCUUCCUGU